rnacentral:rRNA from 1 species
UUUAUUUGAUUUCCUUCGGGACUGAUUAUUUUGUGACUGAGUGGCGGACGGGUGAGUAACGCGUGGGUAACCUGCCUUGUACAGGGGGAUAACAGUUGGAAACGGCUGCUAAUACCGCAUUAAGCGCACAGCAUCGCAUGAUGCAGUGUGAAAAACUCCGGUGGUAUGAGAUGGACCCGCGUCUGAUUAGUUAGUUGGUGGGGUAACGGCCCACCUAGUCUUCGAUGGAUAGGGGUUCUGAGAGGAAGGUCCCCACAUUGGAACUGAGACACGGUCCAAACUCC